UGGGGAAUAUUGCGCAAUGGGGGGAACCCUGACGCUGCCAUGUCGCGUGAAUGAAGAAGGCCUUCGGGUUGUAAAGUUCUUUCGGUAUUGAGGAAGGUUGAUGUGUUAAUAGCACAUCAAAUUGACGUUAAAUACAAAAGAAGCACCGGCUAACUCCGUGCCAGCAGCCGCGGUAAUACGGAGGGUGCGAGCGUUAAUCGGAAUAACUGGGCGUAAAGGGCACGCAGGCGGUUAUUUAAGUGAGGUGUGAAAGCCCCGGGCUUAACCUGGGAAUUGCAUUUCAGACUGGGUAACUAGAGUACUUUAGGGAGGGGUAGAAUUCCACGUGUAGCGGUGAAAUGCGUAGAGAUGUGGAGGAAUACCGAAGGCGAAGGCAGCCCCUUGGGAAUGUACUGACGCUCAUGUGCGAAAGCGUGGGGAGCAAACAGGAUUAGAUACCCUGGUAGUCCACGCUGUAAACGCUGUCGAUUUGGGGGUUGGGGUUUAACUCUGGCGCCCGUAGCUAACGUGAUAAAUCGACCGCCUGGGGAGUACGGCCGCAAGGUUA
rnacentral:rRNA from 1 species